ensembl:lncRNA
GGCAGUUAGUUUGGAGUGGUCAUCCGCUCCACUCAGUGUAAUCCGUUUGGCUGGAGCAAUGAACUGUCAGUAUUUAAUUAAUCAUACCUCACUGAAUACCACUGAUUUUCAUGCGUUUUUUUCAUACGUAGCUAUGAUAAAGGCCACAUGGUUUGGCGUGUUUUAUUAUUCAAUACUAAUUAUACCAAUAGUACGGUAAUGUUAAAUCUUGCUUGUGAAAAGUAAUCCCCCGAUUCCCAUUAUGGAUUGUCCGCCGAUUUGAGCAGGAAUACGCUGAACAACAGCCCGGCAUCCUGUUUCUGCUGCUGUUGCUUCUCCCGGUUGACCACUCCAAGAUGGCGGCCAUAUUUCUCACGUCCCAGCAGCCAAUGCUCCGUCUAUCUAUAAGAUGUUUAUGUUGACAACCAUAAGAAACCACCUGGCAGUUAGUUGGACGGGAGUCCCCUGAGGGAAUCUGGCGGAACGUACUGGAUUGUAUUUGCGUAACCUCGAGCCGUUGCCAACGGAAACAAUUUUUCAGUCGGUUUCCAUUGGGAAUUGUUGCCCCUAUUUUAAGCAACUAAAGUUUGAUAUUUAAUACAUACUGACACGUACGUCGUACAAUAUGUUGAUAAUUUCCGAUGGUUGCGCCGUACUCUUAACCACGAUGACGUUGCGGGACUCUCACUGCGUACAAAACAGCGUUCUACUUGCGGGCCCAAUUUUGACAUCAAGGAAGGCUUAAAAUCAUUUCAAGAUGGAAGAUAAUUUGACAUUUCUUCAACGGAACCCAGCACCUGAAUAUGGCUGAGUAUAUUUGAUUUAAUAUCGAUACUGCUUAGUGUUCUUUGUUACUUCAGCUUUUGUACGUUCUAAAUAUCUGCUGUCAUUCAUUGCCACAGAAGUUAAACCCUACCCAAUAGAAUGACGUUAAACAACGACUUUGGUGCAGAGUUAACAACUGGAUAAUAUAAAAGCUAAAAUAAUGGCCGUCAUUCCCACAUGUUACAGUAGAAGAUACUCUAGAACUGUACAAGGUUAAAAAUGUAACAUGUAGUUUGUCCCAAGGUGUCUGCCUCCUCACCCAGAGCCAGACCUCCACCUCCUCACCCAGAGCCAGACCUCCACCUCCUCACCCAGAGCCAGACCUCCACCUCCUCACCCAGAGCCAGACCUCCACCUCCUGUCAGAAGUCCUCCAGAACAGCUGAAAGGCGAGGCUGAGAGGCUGGGGACCGGAGGCUUGUGGUGCCAGGGUGGACCGGAGACUGAGGCUGGAGACCAGGGGCCUGCAGCACCGGACCAGAGGACCAGGAAUCCAUGGCUGAAGGCGCUGAUGGAGGAGCCGUGCUGAUGGAGGAGCCGUGCUGAUGGAGGAGCCGUGCUGAUGGAGGAGCCGCGCUGAUGGAGGAGCCGAGCUGGUGGAGGGCCUGCCUGGGGAAUGACGUCUAUCGUAGACCAGGACUCUGUCUGAGGAGAGCUGCUGUAGGAGCUGAGACGCUGGAGGACGACUAGGAAUCGACCAACAAGGAUUCCUCAACGUGUUUCUGGAGCGGAGGCGAGCUGGUAGGGGAGCCGUGAAUCUGGAGGAUGACCAUCACUCUACAAACAAGGAUUGCAAACCAGGACUCUGGCUGAGGAGAGCUGAUGGAGGAGCCAAGACUCUGGAGGACGACAUCACUCCACCAACCAGGAUCCUCAGACAAAUUACGUUUGUAACUCUGGAGGACUGAUGGAGAAGCCGUACAUCUGGAAGGCAAAUCCUGAGGAUCACCAGGACUCUACCAUCAAGGAUUCCUCAUAAAUUUGCAUUAUCUGGACAUGGUGGACUAGACACACCUGAGCUGAACCUCACCUGAUCCUGACAUCCUGCUGGUCCCGUCUCCUCAGUUCAUCUGAGCCUCGUCCUCCAGAAGACCUGCUGAGCUCAGCAGUCUGAGGCUGAUGGAUCAAUGACCUCCAGUGGGAGUCAUCUUCUUGACCCAACAUGUAACCGUGUGCUUCCACACGCCUUUCCCUCACGUCUGUCACUAACCUCACUACUUCACUACUCUCUACUGCUUCCUCUUCUUCUUCCUUCUCUGUGGUUCGAACCUUUACACUGGAGGCGCGUCUCCAUGCCCUCAGAGGGUUUAGCGUUAGGGUUGAGAGUCAGGGUUUAGAGUCAGGGACAGAGCUGGUCAGGGAGGACUGCUUUUACACAAACCUCUUCACUUGCUUUCGGAAUGGUGGUGACAUUUUGAAAAGAUUCAUUUGGGAAAAUGUUUUCCUCUGCUUUCCUCUACAAAAUUGUAUUAAACUUCUGUCAAGUGUUUUUGUUUAUAUAUUAAAAUCCCACAUUGACUUCUA